rnacentral:rRNA from 1 species
CAGCCGCCGCGGUAAUACGAAGGGUGCAAGCGUUACUCGGAAUUACUGGGCGUAAAGCGUGCGUAGGGGGUGGUUUAAGUCCGUUGUGAAAGCCCUGGGCUCAACCUGGGAGUUGCAGUGGAUACUGGGUCACUAGAGUGUGGUAGAGGAUAGUGGAAUUUCCGGUGUAGCAGUGAAAUGCGUAGAGAUCGGAAGGAACAUCUGUGGCGAAGGCGACUAUCUGGGCCAACACUGACACUGAGGCACGAAAGCGUGGGGAGCAAACAGGAUUAGAUACCCGAGUAGUCCCUGUCUCUUAUAC